AGUUUCAACAAAAUCAAUAACAUAAAACACACACAUUCGACUUUAGACCUAAGACAUGCUACUACUAUAAUACAUGAUAAGCAUAUUUAAUUAUUAAUAUAUAUUUUUUCGAUCAAUUCGCGUAACAUUGAAUUAAUUGGGGGCUCAACCGAUCCUUUACAUGGAUAUAAGUACACAACAGGACAUCUGAAUCCUUCAAAAUGAAAUCCUUAGUACUCAAAUCGAGAUCAACGAAGACAAACUCAAAAAUCAGUUAACCGGUGAAACGUACAAUGCCAAACGAGGAUUCGACUUCUUCCGCAUCUACUCUCUACACAUCUAAAAACUACAUGAUUUCGUACGGAUGCUUCAAACAACAAAUCCUACUUGUUUAAUUAGAUGCCCAAUUUAGCAUUUCAAUUUUGUGAUAAAUCAAUUACACUCACCCUGAGUAUCAUAUUUGGCAUUACUUCCAAAAAUGGCAAAGUAUAAACGAGCAAAAUAAUUCGGACAUUAUGCCUCUAAGCGAUAAAAGCUUCAUGCAAAAUUUCCGCCUCAAUAAGCACGCAUUUUUAUAUGUUUUGGACAACAUAAGACCCCAAUUAAAAGUCGCUCAAAGGACCACAUCAAUUCCAGAAAUUGUAAAACUGUCAACAACCUUGAGUUCUUCGCACUGGGCGGGUAUCAACACUCGGUCGGCUAAGAUGGGCAUUCGGGCUAGCCCAACAAUCGGUUUCCCAAUGCAUCUUGGAAGUGUGCGAUGCCAUUGAGAAAACUCUGUGCCCAAAGCAUACCAUGUUUCCCUUGACCAUUGAGGAAAAAAUUGAAACAAAUAGAACCUUUUACUUGACGUCCGGAAUUCCAGGCGUAAUUGGAGUGAUUGAUGGGAAAUGAAUAACGGAAUUAACACUUAUUUUUUAAUCGUAAACUAAAACACAGCAUAAAUGCA